rnacentral:rRNA from 1 species
CAAUAGCGUAUAUUAAAGUUGUUGCAGUUAAAAAGCUCGUAGUUGGAUUUGUGGUUUGUCCCGCCGGCUGGGUCAUUGACCUUUGCUGUGCUGGUCGUCCAUCCUUGGGUGGAAUCUGUGUGGCAUUAGGUUGUCGCGCAGGGGAUGCCCAUCGUUUACUGUGAAAAAAUUAGAGUGUUCAAAGCAGGCUUAUGCCGUUGAAUAUAUUAGCAUGGAAUAAUGAUAUAGGACCUUGGUACUAUUUUGUUGGUUUGCGCACUGAGGUAAUGAUUAAUAGGGACAGUUGGGGGUAUUCGUAUUCCAUUGUAAGAGGUGAAAUUCUUGGAUUUUUGGAAGACGAACUACUGCGAAAGCAUUUACCAAGGAUGUUUUCAUUAA